CAUGCUGCCUCUCAAAGAAAAAUCACAGUAAAAAAAUUCACUUCUGUUGAAACAGAAGUUGAGGAAACAUGAAUGAUCUGCUCUUGGUGGACAAGAUUUACCAGAUCCUCAUUGUGAAAGUAGGGAGAGAACAGGAUUAGCCACUCACUGCUUGUCAGGUGAGUACAAUAAAAUCCAAGCUCUUUCCUAGCUGGUGUCAGAUACCUCCAUUGCUUUUUAAAGUAGAAGCUCCCAGGGGUAGUAUAGUGGGCCAGGUUGACUGAGGCUAGUCUAGAUCUAGAACACUGGUUUUGAGAGCUGACCAAAAUGAGACACCAGUCUCAUCCAAGUAGUCCAUCCAAGAGUUAACAAAAGGAGGUUUACUUAACCACAACAGGAGAAGGAUAUUCAGCCAAGAUACAGCAUUGGAUUCAGCUGAGCACAGUUUCCCCUUGUGGGAACCAGGAGCUACAUCGGUGACCUGAGUCUUCUGAGUGAAUUGUGUCUUCAAGAUGAUUUUACUGUCUUUUAAGGAAAAGAACUGGAAUAUUCUUCUUAACACAAGUUUUAUGCAAUUUUGGCUCAACUUCACUUCAAAAGGAAUUUUGUGGACUAUGGUUUAAGUAUAUUCCAUGAAUGGAAGAAACUACUAUGGAAGGAACAACCAGAAAACCUUCUGUUGAUAAUGCAGUGGGGAACUUGAGCAUUAGUUCUCUCCACAGCUCCUUUAACCUGGGAGGCUAUUUCUAAGCUCAGCCUCUCAGUUCUAGAAAAGACACUUGCUAACUGUGAGACCCUGG